rnacentral:rRNA from 1 species
UACGUAGGGUGCGAGCGUUGUCCGGAAUUAUUGGGCGUAAAGAGCUCGUAGGCGGUGUGUCACGUCGGUCGUGAAAACCUGGGGCUUAACUCUGGGCUUGCGGUCGAUACGGGCAUCACUUGAGUUCGGCAGGGGAGAAUGGAAUUCCUGGUGUAGCGGUGAAAUGCGCAGAUAUCAGGAAGAACACCCGUGGCUAAGGCGGUUCUCUAGUACGGUACUGACGCUGAGACGCGAAAGCGUGGGGAGCGAACAGG